UACAGAGGGUGCAAGCGUUAAUCGGAAUUACUGGGCGUAAAGCGCGCGUAGGUGGUUUGUUAAGUUGGAUGUGAAAUCCCCGGGCUCAACCUGGGAACUGCAUUCAAAACUGACAAGCUAGAGUAUGGUAGAGGGUGGUGGAAUUUCCUGUGUAGCGGUGAAAUGCGUAGAUAUAGGAAGGAACACCAGUGGCGAAGGCGACCACCUGGACUGAUACUGACACUGAGGUGCUAAAGCGUGGGGAGCAAACAGG
rnacentral:rRNA from 1 species